UGGCGCUGGCGAAGGCAGGUCUGCCAGUGACGUAUUUGUCCUGUGGGUCCUGGGCUCUUUCGUGGCACGCAGGGCACUCUCCUUCCUGGGAUGGGAGAAUGGAAUUCUUCUUCCGUGAGAGAGAAAAUACGGAGGUGAAGAAGAGCAGAAUGGGCGAGUACCAGACUGCAGCUGCAGCCAAGCCAGGGAAGAGGCUAAAGAGGGUCCUCGGCGGCUCCCGCAGGACAUUCCCUCCCCAGCCGGUCGGGAAGCUCCACACCUAGGCGAGGACGGGCAGCAGCGGCCCUGGGAAGGCUUCCGUGGAAACUUCCAAAACCACCUUGCCAGGUAAGAUGAAGUAAACACAUGGCAGCCUCUCUCUCCCACUGACGAUACAACCUUGAUAGAGGGCAUGGUGGAGCUAAUUGAAUGAUCCGAACAGUAAAUACCAGCAAGUAGAUGGGUGAAAACAGCCAGGAUUCCAAGUACCACAAAACUGGUGUUGAGUUGUGCACACUUUUUCCUCUGGAAUCUCUUGAGCAGAACUCAGCAUGACCUGAAACCCAGGAGUGAGCCGCACAGUGCCGACAAUGAGAUGCAGAAGAAAACCUCUGGUUCUGGCUGAAGCAGUGGACAAGGAGACUCUUGAAACUCAGAGCCUGGGGGCACCCCUGAUAGUGUUCUUUACUUUCUCUCCCUUCUCACAUUCCAGCCACCAGAGAAUGCAAGAGAGGAGUAGCAGUGGCAGUAAAUGUGGCAUCAACAACAACAACAAAAAGCAGGGACUAGGACUCUGAGGAAGGGAAGCCUAUAUUCUGGCCUCAGGGUGCUCUUUCUUCCUGCCUAGGGGUCAUAUACCACCUGUGGGCACCUCAGGACUCCUGACAACCUCACUUUUACCUGUUGCCUUUUUAGCCCAGGAUCAGUAGGUAUGGGGGUGCACAUGCUCUUGAGGACACAGCAGCUGUCACAUCAGGGAACCCGACUCCAGAACCCUCUGUAAAUAUCCCAUGGCUUGGCCCUGCCCAUCACCCCACCCAGGCCUCCUCAAAUGAGGAGCUAAAGCUGGCCCAUGGGGCCAAAGUGCAGAGGGUAGGGAUAAUGAGCCACUGGCCUUCUAGAACCUGGCAUGGUCCCUGAGUCAGCCAUGACACAGGCAGGGGAGGAGGGUGGGGCUGGGAUAAAGCUGGAUCUCAAGGGAGUUAGAUUUGUUCAGCCUAGGGGAGGGGAGCAGAGGAGAUGCUCUAAGAUGUGGCUUUACCAAAUGUUUCAAGGACACGGAUGGACCAAGCAAUGGCACCUGUGAUGAAAGAUUGAAGCCCAGGAGGCAACCAACACAAAAGGCCUGGACCAGGUGGUGGAGAUGCUGGGGCUCCUACACAGAGGCUCUAUUUUCUGUUUGCAGUCUUCCAGGCCAGAUAAGAAAACUGAGACACAGAAAAGUCACACAAGAUUAUCGAGGUCAACACAGAGAACAGUGGAACCUGCACCUGACCCCAGGCAGGCGGAACCUUCAUGACCACACCACACCACCACAGGGAACAGGCAGGGAAAACAAUGGGUCUAGCAGGACAAAAGUGACAUUUCCCAGAGUUUCUUGCUGUUUGGAUCUGGCUGCAGUUUCAGUUUUGCCAAGAAGAGGCAUUUCCAUGAGCUCUGGACAGUGGCAGAGAGGCAGAGGUGCUCCACUGCAGUGUGCUGGAUGGUCCACGGGCUCCUGCCAAUGUGAGGAUUUGCAGCAACUGGUAUAUCCAUGGUCUUGUCACCAGCUUCCUGAAUUCGGGGCAGCUGGAGCCACACUAGUGGUCCUUCCUUGCAGGGGCAGCAGCUGUCUCCUGGUCUCAGAAUCACAGCUGUGGGGAUGCAACCUUAAGCCAAAAGCCUAGCGGUGGGUGGUCCUAAACUUCUUUUGUCUAGGCCCUCUGAUCCC
rnacentral:lncRNA from 1 species